rnacentral:rRNA from 1 species
AUUGAACGCUGGCGGCAUGCCUAACACAUGCAAGUCGCGCGGGGUGUAGCAAUACAUCUAGCGGCGGACGGGUGAGGAACACAUAGGAAUUUGCCUUUAGGUGGGGGAUAGCCCAGGGAAACUUGGAGUAAUACCGCAUGAUGUCGAAAGACCAAAGCAGGGGAUCGCAAGACCUUGCGCCUUUAGAGAAGCCUAUGUCUGAUUAGCUAGUUGGUAGGGUAAUGGCCUACCAAGGCGACGAUCAGUAACUGGUCUGAGAGGACGAUCAGUCACACCGGAACUGAGACACGGUCCGGACUCCUACGGGAGGCAGCAGUGGGGAAUAUUGGACAAUGGGCGCAAGCCUGAUCCAGCAAUGCCGCGUGUGUGAAGAAGGCCU